UCCUCAGCAAGAGAGGACGCCCACUGCCAUGGUGUCUGCCAAUUCUUACUUUUGCAAAAGACAAGUCACUAAAACCUCCGUUUUCUAGACACAGAGGCUUAGACCUGCAAAAUGAAAGCUUGGCUGCCAUCCAUAUUGGGAGUGGAAGUAGGGAAACACCAACCAAGAGGGAAGUCCCCACUGAAGAACUGAGACUGAGACAUGGAAAAUAAGCAAGAUUUGGCUAGGCAAGAGCAGGGAAGGAUGUUCUUGGCAGAAGAAACAGCAUGAGUGGAGGCUGGGUGUGGGGAAGUGUGGCAUUAGAGGAACUGGAAGAAGAUAGGGAGGCAGGGAGCAGGAUGGGAGACAGAUGGAGAAAUUCGUUGGGAUCAUACCCCAAAAAGCCUUAGGCCAUGUAAUGAGUUUGAACUUUGACCUCAAGAGCCAUGGAGGUUUUAAGUAAAGGUUAACUAGAUGUCAUUCCAGCUACUACAUGGAGAAUGGAUUAAUGAAGGUGAUGGCAGGAAGACCAAUUAGGAGAUUGCUGAAACUGCAGAUGCAAGAAAUGGUGUUGGCAUGGUCCAAGGAGGUGUUGGUAGAGAUGGAGGGAAGUGGACAAAUUCAAGAGAUCAUGAGAAAAUAGAAGAGGCAGUGCUUGGUGAAUGAUCUGGUAUGUGGGGCAAAGGAGAAUGGAAAUUUAAAAAUGAUGCCAAGCUGUCACACUUACUUGGAAGACUGGGUAGACAGUAACACCAUUCACUGGACUUCACAUAAGAUAAAAAAUUCUUGAAGGGGACAUUAUCUGUCCUGUUCUGGUCAUUUGGGAUCCAAAGGGAGAAAUUCAUCAGGUAGUUGGAUAUGGAGAUUUUGAACUGGGAGGAGUGGUCAUCACAGUGCCUGAGAUGCCAAAAUUCUACACAGACAAGGUCCUUUAUAGAGUGUAUUUGGAAUCAGCUCUCACUGGACCAGCUCCAGCUAAGUGCCCUGUGAAGGGCACUAGGAUUUCAGAGAUGAAUAAACAUUGUCCCUGCCGCGGGGGGUGACAAUCUCAUUGACCCUGCAGUCAUUCUCCAUCUGCCUUUAUGGUACGGCAUCUCUGUUCACCAAAAACACCAUGGUUCAAGCCCUGUGAUUUAGCCUGUAGAACGCUAAAAGACUUUCUCUACUUCCUUAUUGUGACAGACAGAUUCCAUUAAAGCAUCCACAACCCUGAAGCUCUGUUUCUCCCCCACUGCCUCCCCCCAAGAAGUAAAAGAGGAUGAUUAUUAAAAAUUACAAGUGCCACCUUCCACACUCCAUCUCCCAAACUUCAUUUCACAAUGGCUGCUGACAUCAAUAAUGUCAGACAGGAUAAUCAAGUUUGCAUAAUGUAACAGUUCUCCAAGGGUCCCUCUGCACAAUCACCCCUCCCAGCCUGCAUAUAGGGAAACAGACCUUAGAUUAGGCAGAAAAGGCCCUUAGACUGUCAAACACAAGAGUCCUUUCUCCACAUGCGAUUUUACAGGAGUUAGCCUCCAUCAGAAAAGCUGACUUCUGAUUCCAGUUUGACCCUUUAUUGGCAGGAGGACAGGGGCAAAUCAUUGAAUCAUCCUGUGCCUCAAUUUUCUCUGCUUUAAAGUGGAAAUAACUCUGUAGUAUUCUAAAAGAAUGUCGAUCUUGAAUGGCAUAUAUGUACCAUGUAAUUGAUGAAGUUUAUUAAGAAUAAAAAUAUGGUGAUAGUUCAAUAAGUUACUUUGUCAACUUAAUAUUUGUUAACAUACAUUGCCAAUAAUUUAUUUGGAAAAUAACUAAUAUUUAGUAAAAUAGAACAACAGAAUUGCUGGCUUCUGGUAUGUCUUAACAUGAACUCCAGAAAAAAUAUUAAAAAUUCAAAAAUCAA
rnacentral:lncRNA from 10 species